ensembl:snoRNA SNORD81 Small nucleolar RNA SNORD81
CAGGAUAUAUGAUGAUCUCAACCUACCUUGAACUCUCUCACUGACUACUUGAUGACACUAAGAGAUCUGAUAUUCUG